AGUGAACGCUGGCGGUAGGCCUAACACAUGCAAGUCGAACGGCAGCACAGUAAGAGCUUGCUCUUACGGGUGGCGAGUGGCGGACGGGUGAGGAAUACAUCGGAAUCUACUUUUUCGUGGGGGAUAACGUAGGGAAACUUACGCUAAUACCGCAUACGACCUACGGGUGAAAGCAUGGGAUCUUCGGACCUUGCGCGAUUGAAUGAGCCGAUGUCGGAUUAGCUAGUUGGCGGGGUAAAGGCCCACCAAGGCGACGAUCCGUAGCUGGUCUGAGAGGAUGAUCAGCCACACUGGAACUGAGACACGGUCCAGACUCCUACGGGAGGCAGCAGUUGGGAAUAUUGGACAAUGGGCGCAAGCCUGAUCCAGCCAUACCGCGUGGGUGAAGAAGGCCUUCGGGUUGUAAAGCCCUUUUGUUGGGAAAGAAAAGCAGCAGGUUAAUACCCCGCUGUUCUGACGGUACCCAAAGAAUAAGCACCGGCUAACUUCGUG
rnacentral:rRNA from 1 species